CCAAAUAUUUUAUUUGCACUCUCGGCAGAGCACGUUGAUGUGUAGAUUAUUCGUUCAGGGCACGAUAGCGUUACGUGAUGUGGACACCGUUCUUGUUAUUCAACCUCGGCCUGAUAGGCAGGAAGAAUAAUGAAGAAUUAAGAGCACGAUGAUGAUUAACUAUUUGAAGAUUGAACAUAAAUAUCAAUGAAGAGUGAACAAAAUACAAUAAUAUUAAUAUAAUAUAAUGUCAAAAUAUACACUAAAAUACUUAAAAUAAAAUAAAGCUAAAAAAGCAGAGAAUAUGAUUUUAAUUUUUUAUCCAUUAUUUUCAUUUAAAAAGCGAAGCAAAUGAAAAAUUCAUAGAUCUUUAGAACGUAGUCCUGAAACAGGUAUUUGACACAUGACAUGUGGUCUUCAAGUAAAUGGUUCAAAACAUCUAGGAUCAAUCUUUACGAAAGAGGAGAAAAGGAUUAAAAUUAUACGCAUUUGGGUAAUACCACUGCUGAAAUUAAACAGGAUGCUUAAAUAAGUAAGUCAUCUCAUAUUUUGUUCAUUCAAAAGAGAAAGAUUAAUGUUGUGUGCAGUUUGGUGACUCUGUUGCUGAGAGUAAAAAGGAAGUCAAAAUAAGUAAGUCGUCUUACAUUUUGUUUGUUCGAAAAAAAUUUUUUAAAUGUGGAUGUUGGAGACUGUUGCUGGAAUUAAAAACGAAAUCCAAAUAAGUGAGUUAUUUUAUGUUCUAUUUGUUCGAAAGGAAAAGAUCAAAGUUGAGUGUAAUUUAGUUAUGUUGUUGUCGAAAUUAAAUAUUUGAUAAAAAAUUAAAAUUGUGUGCAUUUUUGUGACUGUUGCUGAAAUAAAAAAGAGACACUGAACAAGUAUGUCAUAUCUUAACUGUUUGAAAGAAAGAGCUAAGUUGUACCUAUGCAUUGUGAUGAUUUUGUUGCCGAAAUUAAAAAGGAAUUAUAAAUAAGUGAGUCAUUUUAUGUCUUAUAUUCGCUUGAAAGAACAGAAUUAAAGUUGGGUGGAUUUUGGAGACACUGUCGCUGAAAUUAAACAGGAAGUCCAAAUACGUAAGUCACCUUACAUCUUGUUUAGUCGAAAGGGGAAGAUCAAAGUUUUGUAGAUUUCGGAGGCAUGGUUGCUGAGGUUAAAAAGGAGGUCUGAAUAUGUAAGUCAUAUUUUGUAUCUUACUAGUUCGAAGGAAAAAAUUGAAGUUUUGUAGAUUUUGGUGAUUCUGUGGCUGAAAUUAGAAAGGAAGUCUAAAUCCGUAAGUCAUUCUAUAUUUUGAUAUUUCGAAAGGAAAGGAUUAAAAUUGCAUGCAUUUGGAUAAUAUGUAAUAGUACCUAAUCGUACGGAAGGAAAGAAAAUGGUUAAAACUGUGUGUAUUUUAAUGAUUCUGUUGUUGAAAUAUAAAUAUGUGUCAAUUUGUAUUUUACUCGUUCGAAAGAAAAAGAUUGAUGUGUGCAUUUUGGAGAGUGUUGCUGAAAUUAAAAAAGAAGUUACAGUAAUGUAUCCUUUAUCCUAAAUUAUUUAAACUAAAAAGAUUUUAAAAAACACAGUCAUUACAAUAGCACAUUAUUACCAAGAAAUUAUAAAGAAAAAAUUGGUGUUAGUAAAUUGGUACAUUUUCCCCCAUUUUGAAGAGUAAGUUCCAUUUACUUAUCAUUGUUACUACAUUAAGACUUAUGCUUAAAUAGGUGCACGUAUGAUCACUUUUUGACUUCACAGGAUAUGCUUUGAAUAAUAAUUAAAUUUUAAGAGGUACAUGUUAGUAUUGGAUGCAGUUAAUGCGGUCAUGAAAGUAGAAAUAUUCAGUAUAAACACUAAAUAAACUAAAAACAAAGACAGCACAUCUGGAUGGUCAGAUUAAAACUAAAAAUGCAAACAUUAUUAUUGACUUAUAGAAUAAAUGUAUAUAAAGACCAUUCGUUUCGGAAUUUAAGAAACAGUAAUAAAAUAACAUAUAAGACAGUAAGUUCAAUUUAAUCCAAUUUUAAAUAACCAUAUGUAUAAAAUAGAAAUCUACUUUGCACUUUGUGUAAAUAUUUAAUACUAAUUAGUAUAAAAUUAAGCACAUAGUAGAAUGCGAAUGAAUCUUCGCUGUAACCUACCCCUUUAAGAAUCUUUUCAUGUUCCAGGAAUAGUAAUUCCUUUUUCAGUGAUAUGAAGUUGCAUAUGAAGUGACAAAUUUAACAGUCAAAUGUUCAAUAUUUUUGAAAACGAUAUGUAUGUAUUUUUUAUGAACCUUUACAGAGAAGUUACUUUUCAAACACCAUCAUUAUUACGAACAUUUGAAUCGUUUAAUUAAUGUCCAACGAACAGUAAAAUUGUACGAUGAUAAAUCAAGAGAUUGAUCAAGAUAGUAUAUCAAAUUUAUCAUUAUGCAAAAUAGCAGAGAGGUGAGAAGAACGAAUCGUGGACAUUUUGCUUGGUUAUACAAGGUUCGCUAACAAAGUACAUCAUUUUAAUUACCACUGUCAGUAUUAUUAGCAAUUUUUUGUUACUUACGAUUUAUUAUUAAAAAUAUAAAGAAACACAAAUAAAACAUUUAUUUACUUGUAUUGAUGGGUUUAAAAAAAAGAAUAUUAUUAAAAAAAUAAUAAUUGACAUAUAGGAUAAUAAAGUUUUGAUGUAUAAGGAGGUGGAAAAGUGGAACUAGUAAAAGUUGAUUAUCCAAAAUUGUAAAUUAGAUCCCCAUUCCACUGAUCUUUCAUUCCAUUCUUUAGAAAUUGUUAAUAAUAAUUACAAUUUUAAAGAAUAAAUAUUUCCUUAAAAGUGACUUGCCUACCGUAAUGUUGAUAUUCCAAACAAGGUUCUCUGUAACGAGAAAUGCGUGAAACCAUUAGCUGCUGUACAGGCCUAUUUGCCAGAGGAAUGUUUGCGAUUUUCUGUCGAUCGUGUGGCCCUCAAAGAUUGGUCCCCGAUACUUUGUGCCAUUGCUGAGAAUCGAAGCUUGUCGAAAAUUUAUAUCUAUAGUCGAAACAAGCGGAAAAAGGUACAAGAGAAAAUUAAUACGGAAGAGAAGCUCGAGAAAUUCUGGUAAUAGAGCCAAGACUUUUGAAUGAACGUGAAUACGUAAUUUUAAUUUUGCAUAAACUGGCAAACAAUGACUGUUACGAAACUGACGCCAAGUGAAAUAAUUUAUUCUUAUCAUGAGGCUUGUCGAAUAAUAUAAAGAUCCGAGUGACUGGAUAAGGUACAUGAAUUUAGAUAAUUCAUCAGAAUUUUAAUUAGGGCGAGAGUGUUUGAUUUGUUGCUUCAUCAAGCUUAAACUUUGUAGACCUUUUUGCUUGGUUCUGAUUUCAUAAACCUUUUGUGUAGCAUAAUUAGACUGUCUCCUUAAUUGUUUUUAUCUUGUCUUUUUGGAUGUUAUCUCUUGCACGAAAAUUUCUAUGCAAAUGAUAUCUAUUCUGGCUUGAAUAUUGCAACUUAAUUCUUAUGUAUUUCAUUUCUAGAACUUGUGAUUUUUCUAAUGUUAAAUUACUGGACCCUUUAGACCUCUUACGCAAUAUUUUAUAUCUAAAAUUUUCAAUUUCACUUCUAAUUUUAAUUAAAAUUUACAGAUUUCUAUAAAAUUAUUAGACCUUUACUCUUUUCAGUAUUACAAUCAAUGUUAAUUUAUAUAAAAUGUAUUAUAGCCCUCAAACCCUUUACUCAAUCUUCUUUACAUAGAGUUUGUAAUUUCAAUUUUAUUUUCAAUCAAAAUUUACAAAUUUCUACAAAAUUAAAUCUUUAGAUCUUUCAUUCGCCUUUUUGACAUCUCAGUCAUAAUCAAUAAAUAUGUAAAAAUAAUUAUUACAAUCUUUAGAUCUCUCUUUCAAUGUUUGAUGUCUAGAAUUUGUAGUUAUAGUUUUAAUAUUACUAAAAAUUUACAAACUUGUACAAAUAUUUUAAUGGUUCAAUCAAAAUCCAUAAAUCUGUACAAACUUAAAUUAUUAGCCUUUAGACCCCACUUUCGAUACUCUAUUCCUAAUUUCUGUUCACUUUAAGCAAAACUGCUACACAAAGGUUCAAUUAACGAUCACUUUCAAUGCUUAAUUAACCAAAAUUUGUAACACAAAAGAAAUGUUGUGCCUUUCGGAUACUACUCUCAGUGAGUUUAAGCUUGCAGGUCGCAUCGCCUGGACCGACGAGACGAGAUGUAAAGGGUUGAAUGCAGAAGGAAACAGAAAGACAAAGAUGAGAGAGAGAAAGAGAGAGCGGAAAAGGAAUGAAAGAGAGUUCCAAAGGAAGGAAUUGACGAUGCAAGGAGAGCCAUAGAUGGAGACGAAGGACGAUAUGAAAA